CAGAGGUUCUGUUUAUUUGACCACUUUGAGGUCACAUGGGGUAGCUUAACUUUGGACAAAAUCUUGCUGAUACCAGGCUGUCCACAAGCCCAGUGGAGAAGGUAAGAACUGAAGGGAAGCUGUGCAUGGAAUCUGAUGCUUGUGCGGAGUGAACCUCUUCCCACACGGAUCUUCCCCCGUCUUUAUUCGGUGAAAACGAUGAACAUGGUGGAUGUGAAUUCGUGUACAACGUUUAGAAAUGAAAUACAUAUGGAAUGAAAUACGACAAACCCUCUUGGUGUUUAAUUCCGCUAAAUGAUGCUAGCUAAAGCCAGGGGUUUAGAUGCGGUCGAUGCCGCUGAAAUAUUCCAUGGGCCGUUCUGACAUCUCAAGGAUUUCCACACUAAUCAUCCAUGAACGAGCCAUUUGAUAAUUUUUAUUGCCUGUGAAUCUGAUGUCUUUUUCAGGUAAGGCACUUUUGGGGCAUAGAGUGUGGUUAAGUGCCACUCUUAUACAUGAGGACACAACACGCAUGAGCAAACACUAACUUUAGUAGAUGAUACAAUUGUGAGUGGAAUCUGCAGAGUUCAGGCAGUGUUCAGAGUUCUCUAAAAGUGGUCUGCACAUAAGAAAUUGACAAACAAAUUGAUCCCUUGCUUAGAAUUAGGUUGCUGGCUUGAAUAACUGGAUGAAUGAUGGUGCCAAUUACUGAAAUAAGAAAAUAAGAUGACAAGACUUGAAGAAUAAUAUCAGGAGUAAGUUUUUGGACAUGUAGUGUUUGUAGUGCAUUGCGACUUCCAUGAAAU
rnacentral:lncRNA from 1 species